UUCAUUUUCCCUCAAACUUUCCCUGGCUAAAACUUUCCCCUCGUCGUUCUCCUCUCAAACCUCGUCCACUCGCAGCCCUAGUAGAAACCCACAGUCACCAUGACCUAAACGCUCCCCAAGACUCCGGGCGACAAAGGCAAGCUCCUAUCGACGGGAAGUUGAAACUCAGCCAACUGAUGGCUGAUGAUUUGGGAUUUAUUGAUUCAAUUUCAGUUGAGGAAAUCGGUGGUUCUCGGUGUAGGUCACUGUUGUGAGAAGUGAAGAAGGUGGUAACAAGAUAUCCACUGUGCUUCUACGAGGAAGUACUGAUAGUAUAUUGGAUGAUCUUGAAAGAGAUGUUGAUGAUGGGGUGAAUACAUAUAAGGCAAUGUGCAGGGACAGUCGGAUAGUUCUUGGAGCUACAACUACUGAAAUUGAGUUGGUUAGAAGAUUGAAAGAAUUCUCCUUUAAGGAAAUAGGUUUGCUGAAAGUUUUGAAAUGGUACCAAGAACCCUCACAGAGAAUACUGGACUCAAUUCAAUGGAUAUCAUAUCUAAGCUGUAUGAAAAGCAUGCAUCUGGAAAUACCAAAGUGGGCAUCGACUUGAAGGGAAGGCUGUUGCGGAAAUCGUAACUAGCAGACAUUUUGAUACACAUAUAGAGUCGGAGAUGAUUUUUGCUAUUGCAGAACUUGAAAGUAAUAGACAGCCUCUUGCCAUGCAAUAUGAUAAGAAAGCCAAGGUCACUAAAGUAGGAAUCAUGCAGAUUUUCCCAACAACUGCAGAGUGGUUGGUCAGGGAAUGUCAUAUUUCAUUGUACAAAGUUGAAGAGGAUCCGGAUAUUCUAUAUAGGCCUUUUGUAAAUGUAUAUUUCGGAGCAACCUACCUUAAAUGGUUAUCAAACUUCGAAAACAAGUGAGCUUUCAGGGAAGAACUUGGAUCCACAUUGAAUGCAUUUAAUAUAUUUCUUUUGAAAUGAGUUCAUAUUAUCAUAAAAAAUGUAUUGGUGAUGGUUGA